GAUGAACGCUAGCGAUAGGCUUAACACAUGCAAGUCGAGGGGCAGCAUGGUCUUAGCUUGCUAAGACUGAUGGCGACCGGCGCACGGGUGCGUAACGCGUAUGCAACUUGCCUCACAGAGGGGGAUAACCCGUCGAAAGACGGACUAAUACCGCGUACACUCCAUCUUGGGCAUCCAAGGUAGAGGAAAUGAAAUUCGCUGUGAGAUAGGCAUGCGUCCCAUUAGCUAGUUGGUGAGGUCACGGCUCACCAAGGCGACGAUGGGUAGGGGAACUGAGAGGGUGAGCCCCCACACGGGUACUGGGACACGGACCAGACUACUACGGGAGGCAGCAGUGAGGAAUAUUGGUCAAUGGGCGAGAGCCUGAACCAGCCAAGUCGCGUGAAGGAUGACUGUCUUAUGGAUUGUAAACUUCUUUUAUACGGGAAUAACAAGAGUCACGUGUGACUCCCUGCAUGUACCGUAUGAAUAAGCAUCGGCUAACUCCGUG
rnacentral:rRNA from 1 species